rnacentral:rRNA from 1 species
UACGAAGGGGGCUAGCGUUGCUCGGAAUCACUGGGCGUAAAGCGCACGUAGGCGGAUUGCUAAGUCAGGGGUGAAAUCCUGGAGCUCAACUCCAGAACUGCCUUUGAUACUGGCGGUCUCGAGUCCGGGAGAGGUGAGUGGAACUGCGAGUGUAGAGGUGAAAUUCGUAGAUAUUCGCAAGAACACCAGUGGCGAAGGCGGCUCACUGGCCCGGUACUGACGCUGAGGUGGCGAAAGCGUGGGGAGCAAACAGG